rnacentral:rRNA from 1 species
GACGAACGCUGGCGGCGUGCUUAACACAUGCGAGUCGAACGGAAAGACCCUGCGUUUGUUUCUUUCUCGAUUGCCGAACGGGUGAGUAACACAUGAGGAACCUCCCCUUGACUUUGUGAUAACUUCACGAAACUGCGGCUAAUACCGGAUAUGAUCUCCUGCUGCAUGUUGGUGGUUGGAAAAAUUCGGCGUUUGGGGAUCGACUCGAGGGUUAUCAGCUUGUUUGGGUGGUAGUUACUUACCAGGGCUUUGACGGAUAGCCGGCAUGGGAGGGUGACCGGCGACAAUGGGACUGAGAUACGGACCAGACUCCAACGGGAGGCAGCAGGCGGGAAUCUUGCGGAGUGGGCGGACGUCUGAUGCGGAAACGCCACGUGCGGGAUGACGGCUUACGGGUUAUAAACAGAUUUGGCAUGUGACGAAGAGUGAGUGACGGUAACGGGUAAAGAAGCAACGGCUAACUACGUG